rnacentral:lncRNA from 1 species
UUUUAAUAACCCAUGAUGGAAUUACUUAGGACUGAACAUAUUUAAUUACUGAACUGAGAUUGUGUUCAUUAUUUUCAGUGAUUAUAAGAUUUUCUAUUUUAUAAGACUGACCAGAGAAUUAUAUAGCCUCAGUAAGUUUUUGCACAGGAGUAAAAGAAAAAGAGCCCUGAAGUGCAAAUUUAAAGAAGAAAAAUAAAGUUAUUGUCUGAUUGUAUCCAUAGGGCCAUGUUAUUACAAGAUUUUGAUUAUAUAAUGUACUGUGCAGUCUCCUUAGGAUAAAUAGGACUUAAUACAUGUUAUGUAUUAUACAUAGUAAUGUACGGUAAUAUAUGUGUUGUAUAAUGGUGGUGAGAUAACUUCAAAUUUCUCCCCAUUAAAAGCUGAUGAAAAACCUUGGCCAGAUCUGGUGAAGAAAAUUAUCUAUAUUCUCAGGAGUUCCCGUCGUGGCGCAGUGGUUAACGAAUCCGAUUAGGAACUACGAGGUGGCAGGUUCGGUCCCUGGCCCUGCUCAGUGGGUUAGGGAUCCGGUGUUGCCCUGAGCUGUGGUGUAGGUCGCAGACAUGCAGCUCAGAUCUGAAGUUGCUGUGGCUGUGGUGUAGGCUGGUGGCUGCAGCUCUGAUUAGACCCCUAGCCUGGGAACCUCCAUGUGCUGUGGGUGUGGCUCUAGAAAAUACCAAAAAAAAAAAAGAAAAUUAUCUAUAUUCUCAUUCAGUCUCUAUGCCGUUUUCCUCUUUAGUCUUUUUCUUUUUGCUUCGUGAGCUCAGAUUUAUUGGAGCUUUCAUUGUAAAUACAGAUAAAUUGGACUUAUAUUAGUUAUUAUGCCAGAAAAUUUUAAAUACAUUGUAAAUAAAUAACCAGGUAUAUUGUUUGAUGUAAAGUUUUUUUUUUUCCUUUUCUUUGAUAUUCAUUGAAAGACUCUUACUGUUAGCUACUUGUUACCCUUAAAUGGAUUUUUAUCUCUUUUUGAGGCUUAGUGGCAGUCUAUCUUCUCUGUUCCGAAUAAUUUGAGUUAUGUGUCUCAGUCCUCAACUCCUCCUACAAAAUGCUGUGUUCUGCAUCAUAAAGUGGCUUUUAUAGCCCCACUUCUUUGGCAGAAACUGUAAGAUUGGCGUUUGAGCUUCUAAUGGCACUUUAUUGACAGCUGUGUCACCUUGGAAAUUCCUGUAUGACUCCAUUUAAAGGUCUCUUAAACUGUGGCAUGUUGAAGUCUCAUUAAUUAAUGGAAAAACUAAUUGCUUUUCUCCUCCAUGUGAAUUGCAUUCAUCAUGAUCACAUCUUAAUUCUCACACUUCUCAGAAUAAAUAUUCUGCUUUCUUCACUAACUCCGUGUACAAUGAUACUGGAAAAAUUUUUUUAUUUUAUUUUGUUUUUACAAUAUAAAGUUGCUUUAGAAACAGGCAAGUUAUUUGACAAGGAAAGAUAAUUGCUGUGUAUGUUUUAAGAAACCCUUAACCCAAGACUUGACUUAUGAACUGGUGUGUUAGGGAAUCACUAUUCAUAUUUCUCAUAUUAAGUACUUUUUUAUUAUUUUAUUUAAAACUUUAUUUAAAACCUGGAGUUUUUAAAGUUUAGUUCAGUUUUACACGAUGUUUGUCUAGUAGGAAUUUAGGCUGUUAAACAUGCGGAAAUUAUAAUGGGAUGUCAACAUGUGACUGCUCUGACUCCUUUCUGACCUUGUCUCUUGGCUUCCCUGGCGCACAGCCCUGCAGACUAGGAGAGGCAACGUGCGAUGAUUAAGUUAGUCUCAUUCUGCCUGACGUUGUUCUGACAGGUUGGGCUUCCAAUCUCAGGGCUGCUCUGUUCACUCACUAGAACUCCAUUUGGUUUGUUUUCUGAAUCUAGGUACAAGUUGAUCACUUGUAGUUUUCUUGACCUAGCUUACUUCUGCUCAUGUUAAGGAAAAUUCUAAAAAAUAGCCACUAAGAAAUUAAAUUAUGAAAAUAAUACAUUCUCUAAAGUCUAAUCUGUAAUUAGAUUGAUUUUAUUAGUCAUGGUAUGGUAUAUUUUCUUUUUGGUGGGGGCAUACCUGCAGCAUAUGGAAGUUCCCAGGUUUGGGAUUGAAUCAGAGCUGCAGCUGCUUGCCUAUGCCACAGCCACAGCAACACCAGAUCCGGGCUGUGUCUGCGACCUACACUACAGCCCACAGCAAUGCUGAUCCCCAACCCACUGAGAAAGGCCAGGGGUGAACCCUCAUACUCAUGGAUAUUGAUCGGAUUCAUUUCCUCUGCACCACAAUGGGAACUCCUAUUGUUACAUAUUGUUUGUAGAAUUCAUUUCUAUGAAAUGCUCCAUUUAAUCCUAUCAAUUACCCACUUUGACUUCAAUGCCUUCAACAUGCAGAAUUGCACUUUAGGUAUGUUAGAGCAACUUAAAAUAUUUUUCCACUUUAUAAUAUCAAUCUGUGAUCUUUCCAUGAUUUGAAAAUGGGCUGAAGUUUUUAAGCAAAUAUAAGUUAAGUUCUCCAGAUAUUUGACAUGUAUUUCUAUUAUUUAUUUAUUUUGGUAUCUCCUCCAAAAUAUAUCCACUUGGUUAUUCAAUACAUAUAAUUUGGAAAUCUGCUAUGAUAUUAGAAUGGGAAAUCUUUAAUCCUGGAUGCUAACUGCUGUGCCUCCUGCACUGAACAGUACUUUACUUUGGCAAUCAGGAAAGUGUAUGUUGCUAAAUGUAGGGGUGAGGGAUCUGACUUCCUUGGAACUUCUGAGAAAUUCAUAUGCAUUUGUGUAUAUAUCUAUUGUUAUAUUUGUUUCAAAGUACAAGUAAGAUUUUUUGAGCACAUUGUCUAUUAAUAUCAUAAUUGUAUUGUAGGUCUCUGUAUUAGGAACAUGCUACCCAAAGUAUUAAGCUUUCUUUAUAAAAUAUAGGAAGAGAGAGAGAGAUUAUAUACAACUAAAAAAAUCUGAAAAUGGGAAAAUGCCAGGACUGGACAAGGACACCUUACAGUGUUAGGUGAACAAGCAAAAUCCAUUAUGGAUUGUGUUCCUCACAUUCUUCUUAGGAUUUAAAGGGCAGCAACCCCUGAUCCUGAGCACAGGAGACUCAGCUCUCAUGUUUCACUAUCUGGAGUGUUUUGAGCAGCUUCUGGUCUCCCUCACCUGUCUUCAUGGCUGCAUCCCUGACUGAACUCUGGGGUUCAGUUUCUCACCAGUUGUACAAAAGAUGCUAGGUUCUGACCUGAAUUUUUUUAUAUCAUUUUCUCUAUUUUAAAAAUAUUACUCUUCCUACAAUUUUCCUACUGAAAAUACAUUCCUAGAAAUUGAAGUUAGGUGCCCCAGAGAAUGAGUAUUUUGGUUUUUGUAGUGUGAAUAUUUGAAAUGGCAAUUUUUCAAGCACACACAUUUUCAUGAUAUUUUUAUGGU